rfam:Stegodyphus mimosarum contig124688, whole genome shotgun sequence.
GCCUUCGUGGUGUAGUGUUCAGCACGCUGGGCGCGUAUUCCAGAGAUCCGUGGUUCAAGUCCCGGCUAAGGGG